AAAUUGAAGAGUUUGAUCAUGGCUCAGAUUGAACGCUGGCGGCAGGCCUAACACAUGCAAGUCGAGCGGUAGCACAGAGAGCUUGCUCUCGGGUGACGAGCGGCGGACGGGUGAGUAAUGUCUGGGAAACUGCCUGAUGGAGGGGGAUAACUACUGGAAACGGUAGCUAAUACCGCAUAAUGUCGCAAGACCAAAGUGGGGGACCUUCGGGCCUCAUGCCAUCAGAUGUGCCCAGAUGGGAUUAGCUAGUAGGUGGGGUAACGGCUCACCUAGGCGACGAUCCCUAGCUGGUCUGAGAGGAUGACCAGCCACACUGGAACUGAGACACGGUCCAGACUCCUACGGGAGGCAGCAGUGGGGAAUAUUGCACAAUGGGCGCAAGCCUGAUGCAGCCAUGCCGCGUGUGUGAAGAAGGCCUCGGGUUGUAAAGCACUUUCAGCGGGGAGGAAGGCGAUAAGGUUAAUAACCUUGUCGAUUGACGUUACCCGCAGAAGAAGCACCGGCUAACUCCGUGCCAGCAGCCGCGGUAAUACGGAGGGUGCAAGCGUUAAUCGGAAUUACUGGGCGUAAAGCGCACGCAGGCGGUCUGUCAAGUCGGAUGUGAAAUCCCCGGGCUCAACCUGGGAACUGCAUUCGAAACUGGCAGGCUAGAGUCUUGUAGAGGGGGGUAGAAUUCCAGGUGUAGCGGUGAAAUGCGUAGAGAUCUGGAGGAAUACCGGUGGCGAAGGCGGCCCCCUGGACAAAGACUGACGCUCAGGUGCGAAAGCGUGGGGAGCAAACAGGAUUAGAUACCCUGGUAGUCCACGCCGUAAACGAUGUCGAUUUGGAGGUUGUGCCCUUGAGGCGUGGCUUCCGGAGCUAACGCGUUAAAUCGACCGCCUGGGGAGUACGGCCGCAAGGUUAAAACUCAAAUGAAUUGACGGGGGCCCGCACAAGCGGUGGAGCAUGUGGUUUAAUUCGAUGCAACGCGAAGAACCUUACCUGGUCUUGACAUCCACAGAACUUUCCAGAGAUGGAUUGGUGCCUUCGGGAACUGUGAGACAGGUGCUGCAUGGCUGUCGUCAGCUCGUGUUGUGAAAUGUUGGGUUAAGUCCCGCAACGAGCGCAACCCUUAUCCUUUGUUGCCAGCGGUUAGGCCGGGAACUCAAAGGAGACUGCCAGUGAUAAACUGGAGGAAGGUGGGGAUGACGUCAAGUCAUCAUGGCCCUUACGACCAGGGCUACACACGUGCUACAAUGGCAUAUACAAAGAGAAGCGACCUCGCGAGAGCAAGCGGACCUCAUAAAGUAUGUCGUAGUCCGGAUUGGAGUCUGCAACUCGACUCCAUGAAGUCGGAAUCGCUAGUAAUCGUAGAUCAGAAUGCUACGGUGAAUACGUUCCCGGGCCUUGUACACACCGCCCGUCACACCAUGGGAGUGGGUUGCAAAAGAAGUAGGUAGCUUAACCUUCGGGAGGGCGCUUACCACUUUGUGAUUCAUGACUGGGGUGAAGUCGUAACAAGGUAACCGUAGGGGAACCUGCGGUUGGAUCACCUCCUUA
rnacentral:rRNA from 1 species